rnacentral:rRNA from 1 species
GACGAACGCUGGCGGCGUGCUUAACACAUGCAAGUCGAACGGAAAGGCCCUGCUUUUGUGGGGUGCUCGAGUGGCGAACGGGUGAGUAACACGUGAGUAACCUGCCCUUGACUUUGGGAUAACUUCAGGAAACUGGGGCUAAUACCGGAUAGGAGCUCCUGCUGCAUGGUGGGGGUUGGAAAGUUUCGGCGGUUGGGGAUGGACUCGCGGCUUAUCAGCUUGUUGGUGGGAUAGUGGCUUACCAAGGCUUUGACGGGUAGCCGGCCUGAGAGGGUGACCGGCCACACUGGUACAGAGGUACGGCCCAAACUCCUACGGGAGGCAGCAGUGGGGAAUGUUGCACAAUGGGCGGAAGCCUGAUGCAGCAACGCCGCGUUCGGGAUGACGACCUUCGGAUUGUAAACCGCUAUCGCCUGUGACGAAGCGUUAGUGACGGUAAUGGGUAAAGAAGCACCGGCUAACUACGUG